ACGAACGCUGGCGGCGUGCUUCACACAUGCAAGUCGAACGGAAAGGCCCUGCUUGCAGGGUGCUCGAGUGGCGAACGGGUGAGUAACACGUGGGUGAUCUGCCCCUUACUUUGGGAUAAGCCUGGGAAACUGGGUCUAAUACUGGAUAGGACCAUGCUGUAGGUGGUGUGGUGGAAAGAUUAGUUUCGGUAAGGGAUGAGCUCGCGGCCUAUCAGCUUGUUGGUGGGGUAAUGGCCUACCAAGGCGUCGACGGGUAGCCGGCCUGAGAGGGUGGACGGCCAGGUGGGGGAUGAGAGAGGGCCCGGACUCCUGCGGGAGGCAGCGGUGGGGAGUAUUGGACAAGGGGCGCAAGCCUGAGGCAGCGACGCGGCGUGGGGGAUGACGGCCUGGGGGUGGUAAAGUCCUUUGAGCCAUGACGAAGCCCUGGUGGUGACGGUAGGGGAAGAGGAAGCCCCGGCUAACUACUUG
rnacentral:rRNA from 1 species